rnacentral:rRNA from 1 species
CCUACGGGUGGCAGCAGUCGAGAAUCAUUCACAAUGGGGGAAACCCUGAUGGUGCGACGCCGCAUGGGGGAAUGAAGGUCUUCGGAUUGUAAACCCCUGUCAUGUGGGAGCAAAUUAAAAAGAUAGUACCACAAGAGGAAGAGACGGCUAACUCUGUGCCAGCAGCCGCGGUAAUACAGAGGUCUCAAGCGUUGUUCGGAUUCAGUGGGUGUAAGGCGUGCAUAGGAUGUUUCGUAAGGAGUGUGUAAAAGGGGCGGGCUCAACCCGCGGACGGCAUAUGAUUCUGCGGGACUAGAGUAAUGGAGGGGGAACCGGAAUUCUCGGUGUAGCAGUGAAAUG